AUCAAUGAGUUGUCAAUUGAAAACCAAGGGAUUUGGUCGUCACUCAUCAAUAGAUAAGCAUCCCAUCUAGAAGCCCACUUCACAUCACUCUUCUGGAAUUCAACAUCAUAGGUAAAAAUGAUUUCUUGCUUCUCGGCAACCUCUUGGGGAGAAUUAGAAUUAACAACAGUGUGUUUCGAAUGGGGGUCACAGGUAGUUAAAUGAGUCUGUGCAUCACUCCAUUUCCCUUCGUAUUCAUGUUUAACACUGAAUGGUUUAACCUCAAAUCCCACAAUUCUUGUUGUUUCAGUUUGUGAAUCUCUAUGAUAUUUCACAGUAAAUGCCAGAUGGUUGUGGAUGAAGUACUUCUCUUCUUUGCUCCCAGCAUAAUGGCCUUUGAGCCCAACAUGGAAUCCAAGCUGAUAAACAGUAGGAGCUUCUUGAUCUGGCCUUUGAAUGGGAACGACUAGAGGUAGAUUAUCAAGGAUCAUGUUCACUCGAUACUCGUCAUCUAUCUUCUCCUUAAACUGCUUCACAAUUUUGGCAUCAGGUGUCAACCGGCAAAGAAUGUUGCACAUCUGAGCCUCCCGCAUUUUAAACACAUAGGGGGAAUUCUUAAUUCGGUCACCACGAAGCACUUCCCCAAGAUUCUCUGCACUGUCCACGAUUUUCUCAGGUUUACAGUAAGGGAGAUAGUAAAAUGAGUAAGGAAGCUGAGUCUUUGUAGAUGUCAAUUUAUUCACUUUAACUUUCAAAACAUCUCCCUUGAUGAAGUCCUCUGGAGCGACGCCGGGGAGGUAGAAGGAGUGGGCGGUUGAGAGCUGGAGGGAGGCCCGUGAACGGCGAAAACGACUUUGUCGUCGUUGUUGCGGAAGUUCGGCCUCGCGGCUCUGGCUCUGAUUACUUCCAUCACUGACUUCUUGUUCACCAUGGCUGUCUCAAUCAGUGUGGUUCAAACCGGAGAGGAAGAAGUCGACCCAGGUGGCAAUGUCGGAGGGUUUGUAGAGGACGGCGUGCGAUGCCGUUGUCGGUUGGUGCUCUUUUAGCUGCUGCUCGGGCGGGCCACGAGAGUUGGGCUCUUGGCAUCUGGGCCUGUGAAAUUGAGGGAGGCCUGGACCUGGAAGAAGAAGAAGCAGACAUUUUGGUGAAGGGAUAGGCCUGGCAUUUGGGUCUUUUGCUGACAUUUUGAUUUUUUUUUUUUUUUUUUUGAAGCUGUAAUAAAUAAAUAUAUUUUUUUGUAAAUACAUAAAACAUAUGUAUUUUUUUUUUCUUUAAUAAAACAUUUUUUUUUAUUUUGAUAUGACUGAACUCGAAAUUAAAUAUUCCAGCUGCCUACGUACCCUUUCAAAGAAAGAGAUCAAGUCAAAACGUAGUUCAAAUACAUACAUAUUUUUGGUAUUUUCUUUUUGUGCCGUUUGCAGUUUUAACUCAUGCAGACAAGGAGCAUUUGGUGCCGUGUUGCAAUUUCAGCUCGUGCAGGCAAUGAGCGUUGGUGUUGCCUUUUAUGCUCGUGCAGACCAGGCGCGUUGUGCCAUGCAGUUUAGGCUCGUGUAGGCGAUGAGCCUUGUGUCUUGCAGUUUAGGCUCUUACAGACAAGAAGCUUUUGGUGCCGUGUUGCAGUUUCAGCUCGUGCAGGCAAUGAGUGUUGGUGUCGUUUGCAGUUUCAACUCGUGCAGACAAGGAGCAUUUGGUGCCGUGUUGCAGUUUCAGCUCGUGCAGGCAAGGAGCGUUGGGUUGUCGCAUUUUAUGCUCGUGCAGACCAGGAGCGUUGGUGUUGCCUUUUAUGCUCGUGCAGACCAGGAGCAUUGUGCCAUGCAGUUUAGGCUCAUGCGGGCGAUAAGCCUUGGUUCGUGCAGU
rnacentral:lncRNA from 1 species